UACGGGGGGGGGCAAGCGUUGUUCGGAAUUACUGGGCGUAAAGGGCUCGUAGGCGGCCAACUAAGUCAGACGUGAAAUCCCUCGGCUUAACCGGGGAACUGCGUCUGAUACUGGAUGGCUUGAGAUUGGGAGAGGGAUGCGGAAUUCCAGGUGUAGCGGUGAAAUGCGUAGAUAUCUGGAGGAACACCGGUGGCGAAGGCGGCAUCCUGGACCAACACUGACGCUGAGGAGCGAAAGCCAGGGGAGCCAAAGCGGG
rnacentral:rRNA from 1 species